GACAAGCAGAAGUUACCUUGCUCCUAGAAGAAAGAGAAAGGACACUCCAAGAUGAAAACUGUGGGGCCGAGACACGUCGAAGUGUAAAGAGCAGCUCUGUGCUGCUGAAGGACGAUUGCCGGGCAUAGCCUCACGCUUGGGAGCUGCCUAGUGACAAGCUGUGUGGAGGGCUGAGCGUGUACCCAGAGCUGGCCCUGUCUUUUAAACUGACUGCUUCCUGGAAGCUCUCUCAGCUGAGACAUUCUGGGAUCCCAAGAGAGUAUGCUGAUCUCUUCAUUAUCUCAGAAUCGAACUGAGAACUGGAACAAGGAUAACAGAGGUGAGGGGCCACAUUCCACUCUCCAUUUCCUGUGAAGCUGCAUUUGUUGACUGAGACAGCAGGCAAGCGCCUGGCCAGCAGUGAAUGACCAUGGUGGCAUAGCCUGGCUUCAAGGUGCCCUGGAAGCAGAUGGCCUGGCUGGUGUAGCUCCUAGAUCGGGGCGGGCUCCGCCCUCCACCCGAAGGGGAAGUAUCUGGACUGUGUUGUGAGAGACCAUAGAAGACAGAUGGUUUUUCACUGUGACUCUCACAUAUCUUUGCUCCCAAUAGAUAUGCCCCCUCAGCCCCUUCUAGCACAUGUUAAUCUUCACCCCUUUUGAUAAAAUAUCCAAAU
ensembl:lncRNA